rnacentral:rRNA from 1 species
UACAGGGGGGGCAAGCGUUGUUCGGAAUUACUGGGCGUAAAGGGCUCGUAGGCGGCCAACUAAGUCCGACGUGAAAUCCCCAAGCUUAACUUGGGAACUGCGUCGGAUACUGGAUGGCUUGAAUUCGGGAGAGGGAUGCAGAAUUCCAGGUGUAGCGGUGAAAUGCGCAGAUAUCAGGAGGAACACCAAUGGCGAAGGCAGCUCGCUGGAACGGUACUGACGCUGAGGCGCGAAAGCGUGGGGAGCGAACAGG